rnacentral:rRNA from 1 species
UGGGGAAUUUUGGACAAUGGGCGCAAGCCUGAUCCAGCCAUGCCGCGUGCGGGAAGAAGGCCUUCGGGUUGUAAACCGCUUUUGUCAGGGAAGAAAUCUUCUGAGUUAAUACCUCGGGAGGAUGACGGUACCUGAAGAAUAAGCACCGGCUAACUACGUGCCAGCAGCCGCGGUAAUACGUAGGGUGCAAGCGUUAAUCGGAAUUACUGGGCGUAAAGCGUGCGCAGGCGGUUUUGUAAGACAGAGGUGAAAUCCCCGGGCUCAACCUGGGAACUACCUUUGUGACUGCAAGGCUUGAGUGCGGCAGAGGGGGAUGGAAUUCCGCGUGUAGCAGUGAAAUGCGUAGAUAUGCGGAGGAACACCGAUGGCGAAGGCAAUCCCCUGGGCCUGCACUGACGCUCAUGCACGAAAGCGUGGGGAGCAAACAGGAUUAGAUACCCUGGUAGUCCACGCCCUAAACGAUGUCAACUGGUUGUUGGGAAGGUUCCUUCUCAGUAACGUAGCUAACGCGUGAAGUUGACCGCCUGGGGAGUACGGCCGCAAGGUUGAAACUUAAAUGAAUUGACGGGGUCA